rnacentral:misc_RNA from 1 species
AAUACCUCACUCAGGAUGAUG